UUAAAUUGAAGAGUUUGAUCAUGGCUCAGAUUGAACGCUGGCGGCAGGCCUAACACAUGCAAGUCGAACGGUAACAGGAAGAAGCUUGCUUCUUUGCUGACGAGUGGCGGACGGGUGAGUAAUGUCUGGGAAACUGCCUGAUGGAGGGGGAUAACUACUGGAAACGGUAGCUAA
rnacentral:rRNA from 1 species